rnacentral:rRNA from 2 species
UGACCUCGGAUCAGGUAGGAAUACCCGCUG